AUCAAAGGGUCUAGGAUAAUGGGGUAGAGAGGUCUAACUAGUAUUAAUGCCUGGUCUUUGGUAAUUAAGUAUAGUCAAGGUUUUUCACCUAACUCUUUACUGAGGGCGAUACCCGAAAAGGAGGAUUGAGUUAACGAGGUUUUUCACCUCCCCGUCUCCUAUGCGACUACCCUGCUUAGCCCAACUAUUAUUUGCAACUUGCCUACAACAGAUGCGAGGAGCUUUCCGCCUAACGAGGACUGUCACUCUCACACUAGGUGUCUACACAACUGCGACAAGGAGUCCACACUGGCAAGAAGUAGUCUAGACACCACGUCUAAACUAGCUCUUGCUACCCUAAGCUUAGCUAAAGCUAAGAGCACUCAAGAUCAAGCAAUGUGCC
rnacentral:lncRNA from 1 species